GUGGGCGAGAAAACUUCGCCGCUUCGAGGCAGUUUCCCGAGUUCAUUGUCAGUAGUGCGAAUCUCACCCAGUGAUGCAUUUGAAGGUCCUUUUCGCGUUGGUGAUUUUGUUUGCCAUUAGGUUCCGGGCGGCGGCGACCUCUUCGAGCGACGAACGGACGAGAGAGCGGCAGAACGGAUUCAAAGGGAAGAACUACCCUCUGGGGACUCCCAAUUCCAACUCGCGGAAACUCCAACGCGAGGAAUCGACCAGCGGGGAGAGCGAGGAGAACGAGAAAGACACCCGUGACCGGGCUCAACUCCCGGCCCCUGCUCACUCUCACCGAGGUCAUCGACAUCCCUUGGGGACCGCCGGGGCCGGGGGAGGUGUAGGAGGAGGGGGUGGCGCCCCUUUCUCCCAGUAUAGCUAUGGAUACUCGAUCCCGACCAUGAGUUCGACCACAACCAGAAUCAAGGCCGGUACCACAACGAGGGUGGGCAGAACUACCAGCGGCCGACCCCGCCUCAGCAUUUCUUCCACCACAGCCCUUACGACCGGUUCCAGCAGUACGAUUACGACGCGGAGCGAGAGCGAGCAGCAAAGUCGGGACCAGGACCCGGACCUGAGGCGCCACCACCCCCGCGGCCCAUCACCACCCCCAUCAGGGGCACCAGGGCGUCCCUGCCUUGCGGCACGUGAUCCCGGUGGCGCGGCUGGCGUCGCCGUUCCCGUACCCGCUCGGCUACUCGCCACCGGUGACGCCCUUUGGGUUCCUCCCCCACUUGGCGCCCCCCAUCACCUACCUGGCCCAGCCGACGCCCGUCAUCUCCCAGUCCGUCCCGGCCGUCGUCGCCUCCGCCACGCACGGCGCCCAGAUCGCCCUCCCCGUCGCCCACGCCGGCGUCGCUGA
rnacentral:lncRNA from 1 species